GGGGAUAACACUUGGAAACAGGUGCUAAUACCGUAUAACACUAUUUUCCGCAUGGAAGAAAGUUGAAAGGCGCUUUUGCGUCACUGAUGGAUGGACCCGCGGUGCAUUAGCUAGUUGGUGAGGUAACGGCUCACCAAGGCCACGAUGCAUAGCCGACCUGAGAGGGUGAUCGGCCACACUGGGACUGAGACACGGCCCAGACUCCUACGGGAGGCAGCAGUAGGGAAUCUUCGGCAAUGGACGAAAGUCUGACCGAGCAACGCCGCGUGAGUGAAGAAGGUUUUCGGAUCGUAAAACUCUGUUGUUAGAGGAGAACAAGGAUGAGAGUAAAAUGUUCAUCCCUUGACGGUAUCUAACCAGAAAGCCACGGCUAACUACGUGCCAGCAGCCGCGGUAAUACGUAGGUGGCAAGCGUUGUCCGGAUUUAUUGGGCGUAAAGCGAGCGCAGGCGGUUUCUUAAGUCUGAUGUGAAAGCCCCCGGCUCAACCGGGGAGGGUCAUUGGAAACCGGGAGACUUGAGUGCAGAAGAGGAGAGUGGAAUUCCAUGUGUAGCGGUGAAAUGCGUAGAUAUAUGGAGGAACACCAGUGGCGAAGGCGGCUCUCUGGUCUGUAACUGACGCUGAGGCUCGAAAGCGUGGGGAGCGAACAGGAUUAGAUACCCU
rnacentral:rRNA from 1 species